rnacentral:lncRNA from 1 species
AACUUUGGAAAUCUCCUGCUUCCAAAAGUUCUAUGUUGAUACAUUUACUAAAAUGGAACAAUGCACUGUUAAUGGGUCUGCUUUUAUUUUUUCUAGCAUUCCUCUUGCUGAUGACACAAUUCCUGUGUGAAUCUGUUUACAAGAUUCUGAAAACUGAACAGAGAAUUUUGGCACUGCACUGGGUAGGAAAAAGCUUUACAAGAAAUAGAUAACAUCAAGGACAUCGGGAGUGGGAGAGAUUGGACUGGGAGACUCAGCAGGUCAGGACAUUUGCUUUAUCAUUUGCUGAUCAUUCUUUUGCCAUCAAUUCUAGAGUUCUCAAGUCUCUUGCCACUUGUUUAUUGCUUGGACAUGCUUACUUGGUAUGUUCUCAGUUUUGCAAAUUGUGACUAACACCUUUAUGUAAAAAGUCCAGCAUUUGGGUAUCCUUUUUUUUUAGGAUUUGAAGAUUUAAAAAAAUAAUUCAAAUAAAUUUUCAGGAAUAGAAGAAAAUUUCUUACCUAAUAAGUUGUAUAAAUACCCGGAUUUCUAUUAUUCUCACAUAAACUGUUUUUGAAUGAAGAUUUCUUGAUAACUUUUCCAGAAUCAAAACUUUAAACAUAUAAGAUGUUAGUAAGUAAUUGUAGUAACAUUAAGUAAUUGUAGUAACACUUGGGUCAUGAAAGUCGUUUCCUUUCUUUUCUGCUAUAGUCUCUGGGCUUGGAUCCACCUCUAAAAGCUCUUGACACUUCAGAGUCAAUCUACUUGCUUACAUUAAUCUUAACUUCUGAAUGUUGACUACCAUGUGUAAAAUGAAGUUUAAUUAAAAUACAAUUUCUAUGUAAAUGGAAAGAUCCCAAUAGUCAAAUGGUCACCAUUGUGGAAAGUUUAGUGUUAGUCCCAUUCCUUGGUCAGCUGAAGCCAUGCUGGCCUUUGGGAUCUCCAUUGCCCUGAGUGUCCCCGUGGGUGACUGAUGGGUUCGUGUUCAUCUCCUGCUUCAAAGAAGUCUCCAAGUUGUCUUGAAUAGUGAUUACAUCUCUCAGUAUAAUUGCUUAGUUUUUUAUAGGAGC